rnacentral:lncRNA from 10 species
UUGUGGAUCAGGACUAACUCAUUGGCAAUGCACCUAUAGUCAGCCAGGAAGGAGCAAAUUUAAAUACACUGUCCCAUAUAUUAUUAGUCAGUUUCCUAGUCCUGGGACUAGAUCAGUUCAGUUAAACAGCUGUUUCCCAUAUCAGGAGGUGGCAUUGCACAUGGGCUAGGCCUCUAUAUGUGAUGAAGACAAACAGAUUUUUAAUACGAGGCAUUUCUUGUAUUAAAAUGGAGGAAAUACAAGAAAAACAAAAGUUAAUGUUGGGCACAAUUUAUCCAGAUGUGAAACUCAAAAUACCUUUAGUUAUAGAGCAGGAAGGCAGUCGUAAUCUGACAUGUUUUUGCCUCCUAUAUUAAAAGAAUAAACUUCAGCUUACAGGGUCUCAGGAAAAAAGUUAAUGUUGGGCACAAUUUAUCCAGAUGUGAAACUCAAAAUACCUUUAGUUAUAGAGCAGGAAGGCAGUGGUAAUCUGACAUGUUUUUGCCACCUAUAUUAAAAGAAUAAGCUUCAGCUUACAGGGCCUCAGGAAAAAAGGUAGUAGCAAUUUUAUUGAGUCCAAGUCAGAAAAGUGGAAGAAAAAUGUGAAAGCAUUAGUUUGGAAAACAUUAGUUUGGAGCAUUAGUUAGGUAAGCUUCAGGACAGCCAUAGUUAAAGGUGCAGUCAACAAGAAAAACUGGUUAUCUCUGUGACACACAAUUUUUAAAAUCUGGUUUAAUUUUUUUGAAACAGGGUCUCACUCUGUCACGCAGGCUGGAGUGCAGUGGUGUGAUCACAGCUCACUGCAGCCACAAAGAAUUCAGGAUUUAGUCCAAAUUGCAGAAAAUAACAAAAACUCAAGAACAGUGGACAAGACUAGAAUCUAACAAUGGGUGUACUAUAGCUUUUGAAACAUAGUUUUUCUCUCUUUAGUCCCCAUUUUUAUUAAAAACAAAUAGUAGUAGGACAAAUGUAAUUGCGAAAUAAGUCUUAGUCUUAUUAUACUUGGCCUGAUUAUUUGUAUAACGUACAGCAAGAAUAAUUAUUUGCCAUAUAGGCUCUUUAAAAUUGGCUUUGCUGGUCAGGCAUGGUGGCUUACACCUGUAAUCCCAGCACUUUGGGAGGCCAAGGUGGGAGAAACACUUGAGCCCAGGAGUUCAAGACCAGCCUGGGCAACAUAGCGAGAUCCCCGUCUCUACAAAAAUUAGCCAGGUGUGGUGACGCGUGCCUGUAGUCUCAGCUACUUGGGAGGCUGAGGUGGGAGAAUCGCCUGAGCCUGGAUGACAGAGCAAGGCCAUGGCCCAAAAAUAAAUAAAUAAAUAAAAACAAAAUUAGCUUUGCUGAAAUUUCAUUCCCUAAGGAAUCUCACCUUAUACUUUUUAAAGCCUUUAGCCCAGCCAUGGAUUUAUCUAUGCCUGCAAAUACCUGUAUGAGUUGGGAGAAUUUUCCUCCUCUCAAGGUCCCAAGAUAAUUUGGGCUUCUGGGCCUGUCAGAAAGUGACAUUCUUUACUUAUGACAAGUCAGGAACCCUGUACAGAGACUGCAUAUACAAGGUAUAAGCCCAGUUUUCUUUUUUUCUUUUUUUUUUUUUAUUGAUCAUUCUUGGGUGUUUCUCGCGGAGGGGGAUUUGGC